rnacentral:rRNA from 1 species
AACGUAGGUGGCGAGCGUUAUCCGGAAUUACUGGGCGUAAAGCGUGCGUAGGCGGUUCUCCAAGUCCGUUGUGAAAGCCCCGGGCUCAACCUGGGAAUGGCAGUGGAAACUAGGGGACUGGAAUCUGGCAGAGGGGGGUGGAAUGCCGCGUGUAGCAGUGAAAUGCGUAGAGAUGCGGCGGAACACCGAUGGCGAAGGCAGCCCCCUGGGCUGAGAUUGACGCUCAGGCACGAAAGCGUGGGGAGCAAACAGG